UACGAAGGGGGCUAGCGUUGUUCGGAAUUACUGGGCGUAAAGCGCACGUAGGCGGAUCGAUCAGUCAGGGGUGAAAUCCCAGGGCUCAACCCUGGAACUGCCUUUGAUACUGCAAAUCUCGAGUCCGGAAGAGGUGAGUGGAAUUCCUAGUGUAGAGGUGAAAUUCGUAGAUAUUAGGAAGAACACCAGUGGCGAAGGCGGCUCACUGGUCCGGUACUGACGCUGAGGUGCGAAAGCGUGGGGAGCAAACAGG
rnacentral:rRNA from 1 species